AUGGCCUCGAGCUCCCUCCCGCUCCUCGCCCUCCUGGCCCUGCUGGCCCUGCCAGGGCUCCGGGCGGCCGUGACCCUGGUGGAGUCCGGGGGGGACCUCCAGCCCCCUGGGGGAUCCCUGACUCUGCUCUGCCGCGCCUCUGGAUUCAAUUUCGGAAGUUUUGGAAUGUUCUGGUUCCGCCAGGGCCCUGGGAAGGCACUGGAAUUUCUUGCAAGGAUCAACACUGGUGGCAGCACCGACUACGCGCCGUCGGUCAAGGGCCGGUUCACAAUCUCCAGGGACAACAGGCAGAGCUCGGUGACGCUGACCAUGAACAGCCUCAAGGACGAGGAUUCGAUCUCCAGGGACAACGGGCAGAGCUCGGUGACGCUGACCAUGAACAGCCUCAAGGACGAGGAUUCCGGCGCCUAUUUCUGUGCCAAGGGUGCUGGUGCUAGUGCUGCUGCUGGUGCUAAUGGUGACGAUGCCGGCGGUGGCCCCUCACCCCUCUUUGCGUCCCCAGCUGUCCCCAAAUGUGCUCAGACCCCUCCCCACAGCUCUUUAAUUAGGAAAUCAAUGGAGUAG